rnacentral:lncRNA from 1 species
GCGUUUGGAGAGAUUACAAAUUGAUGAGCAGUUGCGACAAAUUGGAGCUAGUUCUAGACCACCACCAAAUCGUACAGAUAAGGAAAAAGGCUAUGUGACUGAUGAUGGUCAAGGAAUGGGUCGAGGUAGUAGACCUUACAGAAAUAGGGGGCACGGCAGACGCGGUCCUGGAUAUACUUCAGGUACAAACUAAGCAUUUUCCUCAGUAACUUUAUCUGUUCCUAGACUUAAUAGCUGCUAAUCUCUAAUAUUCAUUAGAAUACUCCAUUAUAACAAUUUCUCACUACAUGGUUUCCAACUCACAGUGGGUCAAAUUGUGUUUUAAGAGACAUGUAGAGUAAAAGCCCGUUAAUGACACACAUAGU